GGGUGGAGCUUUCAUGAAUGGGAUUGAUUCAUGUGUCUCUUAUAAGACUCCACACAGUUCCCCCUGCCCCACCUUUCUACCAUUUGAAGACCCGGUAAGAAGGUGCUGGCUCUGAACCAGGAACAGAGAGCCCUCACCAAAACACAGCCAUGCUAGCUCCUUGAUCUUGGAAUUCCCAGCCUGCAGAGCUAUUGCAAUGACAUAUCUUCAGCGGUUAAAAAUUGCCAAGUAGUUGUCUUAUUCUUGGAAAGGAAUCAAGAUGAGAGAAUCAUAGGAGCAAGCAAAUGAUUGUGUCAAAGAUCUCACUGCUUCAGUAGUGACAAGGACUCUAUGAAAUACUAGAUCUCAACAUUUCACAGUCCGUUCUGUUUUCUGACGUGUCGCAUACAAACUCAUAGCAUUUCCAUACACAUCUCCAGAAAUGAGCCUCCGGCUCUCCCUGCACAGCCCCCACUAACUCCCAGGGAAGUAGGAUUGUAGCUUGAAGUUUCCCUGACUUUUGUAGUUUAAAAAAAAAUCUCUGUUCUCCCUUUAUGAUGCAGUGGAAAGAGCUUUUAUUUGGAAUCAUUUAUUUAACCAUUUUUAUUGAAUGCCUUCUCUGUGCCAAGCAUGAGACCAGCAGGACCUGGGAAUACAAAGUGAAUGAGGGAUGUGAUCCCGGCAUUUACAGUCUGUUUGAACUUCUAGUCUUGCCACUCAACAGUUGUCUGUCUUAGGCAAAUCAUUUCACCUCUCUGAGACUCCACUUUCAGAUCUUUAAAAUAAGGGCUAAUUCUAUUUUUGAGAGUUGUGAGGAUUAAUUAACAUUAAAAAAAAAGGUAAAUGUCUUGGCAUAUUUCUGACAAAUAGUAGGCGUUCACUCAAUAAAUGUUAGUAUCUUCCCUCCUACAUCCAAGGGUUACUUGGAGAAUCAAAUAUGAUAAUGAACGUGGAAAUGUUUUGUGAAUUGGAAAUGGAGUCAUAGACAAAGUUAGAGUUUUAGGGAGUCAACACAUACUACCACUUUCUUCACCUUGCAAGUUCAAGUCAAAUGAGAAGAGGCAGACAUCUCAAGAUCAAAGUAGCAACCUAAUUAUAGA